CUGCUGCUUCUUCCCUCUCUCUCUCUCUUCGACCCAUUGUUCAUCCUUUCCACCGCUUCAAUCUUCCUUCAACUGGCUGUAGGCCCCUUAGCUGCCUGUUGGGUUUUGGUGCUGCCACGUCAUAAGAUAUAUGAUCGUGGCAAUUUUUACGAGCGUGUUCCAUUUGCUUCUGGAAUCUCUUCAUUUCUCUGUGUCUCACAACCCUGGAACCAGAACAGCCCCUCUCAAAAUGCAUGAACCACAACACGAUCUCUCUCAAAAACUGCGAACCAACCAUUACAUGAAUCUGGUCUCCAUUCAAGGAAAAAUUUUAUACCCAGAAGAGGUUGGGUUUCCUGAGUAUGAUUCUCCGGCUCUGGUAAUUCAAGAUAGUUCCUUUGCAAUUUCAAAGUUGGUGGCAGAAUUCUUGAGGAUCUUCCACGAGCAAGUAACGGCGUCUAAGGAUGAUUUGGAGCCAGGAAAAAAUCCCUAAUUUUCUCUGCUUCUUGAGAUCGGCGUGGCUUCCUCGACUAUUUUCACUGAGGUUUCUCGCUUCAAUCGCAAUGCAUUGAUGAUAAUCUCUUUAUAAAAAGGAGCCAUUUUUAUGAUGAGAAUAGAAGAGUUGCCACAAUGCUCGAGGUCACCAACCCCAGGAUUGGAGCUGCUUCAACCUGAAAAAGGGAAAAAGCGGUGGAAAAUGAUUGAAAUGAUUUUUUUACAUCCCUUUCAAGUUUCAAUCAUUGCUGCCCACCAGUUUGCCCAGACCUCAUCUCUCAGCUUUGUGAUCUGUAGACUGCUACAGAAGCAUGCUUUGUUCAAGUCGGCAACAACUACAGAGGUCCAGGACGCCACAGCUGCCUUGCACCAUUUUCCAAAAUCCUCUCUCACUUUGGCAUGCUCAAAGAGUGAUGCAGCGCUGCCAUCCCUGAAUCAGAAAAUACUCAGAAGGAAGAAGAAGAAGAAAGUCGUAGAAUAUCAAAAGCUUUUUGCUUUGUGAAGGUCAGGACGACGCACCUAUCUUUGCAAUGUUGGGAUGUCUAGGCUUGGGUGGAGACGUGGACUUAUGGAACAGGUGAAGUAGCUUAGCUCUAUUUCAUUAGCUCUUAUCUGUUCUAUUAAUGCUAAGAUCAAUAGUAAAAAGUUCUAUUGCUUUUAUAAUCAAAGAUACAUAUAUUAUAUAAACAGAGGAUAUAUCAUUAAUUCUUGAUGUAAACAAUGAUAAUUUGAAGAACCAUUUAAAGUAUUUUCGUAAUCAGCAUACUUAAACUUAAAUGUGAUAUAUCUGUUUAGUUUUUUUUUUAUACAGUGAUAAUAUUCAAGUAUAAUUUGCAUCAUAUAUCUUUUGAAGUACAUGAAACUAUGAAAAAAAAACCCUAAUUAAUCUGAUUAUGGGGUUUUAUAUCAAAAUAUUGCAGCAAAAGUCACACUUUGAAGAGUUCCUCUUAAUAUAUUUUCAAUUUAUAACCUAAUCUUAAUUUGUCUUCAAUUUCUUUUAGAAAUAAGAAUUUCGAUUUCAAUUUUAUUUUGAGAAUUCAUAUACUUACAUUUCUUUUACAGAUUCCUGAAGCUCAUGAUAAUUCUUCCUCUUUAGAUAUAGAUAUAUCUUCAUUUAAUGCACUUAAGAUGCUUUAAUUUUUUGAAUAAUUUGUAUGUGCAGAGUAAUGAACUCUAUCAUUGGCAUCAAUGGCAUGCAAACACAUCUAUCUAAUGAAUGACUGAAAGCAUGGAUAUAAUAUGCAUUUUCUUUGUCAUUUCAACGCAGUGAUAAGCUAGGUUUAACCAUUGAAUUGGGUUCCUUUAAUUAUGUCAUCUACUGACCUCAUAAUAUUCUCACCAACAAUGAAGCAACGAAGAAAUAACAUGUACAAGUAUUUUGUUUUAUUUUUUACCAAUAUGCGUGUUUAGCAAAAGUCCCAGCCCUCUUCACAGUAAUGUGUGUAUCUGAUCAAUUAUUUUUAAACACAACUGUCUUAUCUUAAAGUGCCAAUUGCUAUUGAAUGGCUGAGUGGGUUUCUUUAUCCUAAGAAUUUUUUUUUUCUGCAAUUUCUUUUGGAUUCUCUUUUUUUGUUUGUUUUGUUCGAUAAUUUUCCUCUUAGUUAGGCUGACUAUUUUUUGUUUGGGUUCUAUUUGUGGAUUAUUGUCGCCUCUUCAGCUAUUGAGGCCACCAUUUUUUAGAAUUUGUAGGAACUAGCUGAAACCAUAAAUCUCAACAUAAUGAAGAUGAAGAUGAGCAUUUUAUCUUUUGAUCACUGUAAUGUGUUGCUUAUUUAUCUUCUCAAACACCGGACAUGUAAAUAUUGAUUUAUAAAACUUAUUUAUAUAUUAAUGGUAUUGUCUUAAACGGUGUUUUUAAAACCCGCAGCAAAGCGCGGGCAUUUAUGCUU